rnacentral:rRNA from 1 species
UACGGGGGGAGCAAGCGUUGUUCGGAUUUACUGGGCGUAAAGGGCGCGUAGGCGGCCAGCACAAGUCAGUUGUGAAAUCUCCGAGCUUAACUCGGAAAGGUCAACUGAUACUGUGCGGCUAGAGUGCGGAAGGGGCAACUGGAAUUCUUGGUGUAGCGGUGAAAUGCGUAGAUAUCAAGAGGAACACCUGCGGCGAAAGGCGGGUUGCUGGGCCGACACUGACGCUGAGGCGCGAAAGCCAGGGGAGCGAACGGG